UAAGGAAUAUUGGGCAAUGGAGGCAACCCUGACCCAGCGACGCCGCGUGAGGGAAGAAGGCCUUCGGGUCGUAAAGCGCUUUUUGAGAGGAUGAGGAAGGACAGUACUCUUAGAAUAAGCCUCGGCUAACUACGUGCCAGCAGCCGCGGUAAUACGUAGGUGGCAAGCGUUGUCCGGAAUUAUUGGGCGUAAAGGGAGCGCAGGUGGGAAUGUAAGUCAGUCUUAAAAGUGCGAGGCUCAACCUCGUGAUGGGACAGAAACUACAUUUCUUGAGUGCAGGAGAGGAAAGUGGAAUUCCUAGUGUAGCGGUGAAAUGCGUAGAUAUUCGGAGGAACACCAGUGGCGAAGGCGGCCUACUGGGCUCUAACUGACGCUGAGGCUCGAAAGUGUGGGGAGCAAACA
rnacentral:rRNA from 1 species